rnacentral:lncRNA from 1 species
GAGGCAACUGAAGCACAGCGAAUAUUAGGUAACUGUUAAAGAUAAGAUUUGAACCCAAGCGGUCUGGCACAGCAGUCGGAACCUCUGACCACCCAUCACACAGUUCCGCCUCUAUUAGAAGAAGACCACUCUGGGGAGCUUCCUGGGGGAGGAGAAACUCUUGUUACAAUAAUCAAUAAUCAAUCAAAUUUCCAAGGAGAUUUCUCUGGACCUUUGGAGGGAGAUUCAAAAGCCCUUCUCCAUCCCACUUCUAGGUCUGCUUGCUAAGUCAGGAAUAAAGCUACCCUGGAUCUUCUGGAACUUUCUGUUCUCUGAGGCAGGAGGGCAUUUCUUUGGCCAGGACCUCCCAGCUCAGAGGCUCAUUGGCCCCAGAAACAUGGGUGGCCCACUGGAGGUGGGCUGUGCCAGUUGGCUUUCAGACGGGAAGCUGCUGGGCACGCUUGUUCUCCACCACACCUCUGCAAGGUGAACCUGGGACUGGGAGGGACAGCCUGCUGAGGACUGAGAGUGUGGGACACUUAUGACUGUCACACUCCUUCUCUGCAAAUCAUCCUCUAAAAGGCUUCCCAGGGCUUGGCUCUGCUUGGUUCUCUGAGCUCCUCCUGCAGGCAGCUGCCUUUCAGUUCACUGUUGUAUCCCAGUGAAUCCAAAAUUAGCUUGAUUCACAACAGAAAAUGAGCAUAAAACCCCUCUAUAGCCAGAGAGUGAUUGUCUACAAAGUCCUAUGUGGUAGAAAUAAGGCUUUGCCCCACGGAGCCAUCUGGCUGUGUGCCCUCUCCCACACACACACUUCCAUUUGGCACACUUAUUGUUACCCUGUGCUGUGAGGGAACAGAGGUACUGGCCAUGGAUCCAUUGCAGAGGAGCCAGCUUAUACUCCCACGGUGCUAGGAAGGAGGUGGGACAGGUAAGACAAGCACACAAACCGUGGAAAAAACUGGAGGAAACUUUCCACACCUCUUAAGCAACUGGUGCAUUUCCCUGUGGUGUAGGUUGAUUGCCUGGCAAAGUCACAGGAAGUAUCUCCAUGGCACCGCAUCAGCCCUCACAGAGCAGGAAAC